AUGCAAACCGACUGGGGUGGUGAGUAUGAGAAACUAAACUCCUUCUUUCAAAAACUUGGCAUCUCACAUCAUGUCUCUUGCCCUCAUGCUCACCAACAGAAUGGAUCAGCUGAAAGAAAGCAUCGUCACAUUGUCGAUGUAGGACUUGCAUUGUUAGCAAAUGCAUCUAUGCCACUCAAGUUUUGGGAUGAAGCCUUUUUAACUGCUACCUAUCUCAUCAACUUGCUUCCAAGCAAAGUCAUUAAGCUUGAAACCCCCAUCACACAGCUUCUUGGGGUAACACCUAAUUACAUAUCUCUUCGUAUCUUUGGUUGCGCAUGUUGGCCAAAUCUUCGACCCUACAACACACGAAAACUCGCUUUCCGCUCAAAACAAUGUGUCUUCUUAGGCUAUAGCCCUAUGCAUAAAGGGGUAAAAUGCUUAGAUGUUCCUACCGGUAGGGUCUACAUAUCCCGAGAUGUUGUCUUUGAUGAAUCUGUGUUCCCUUUUGCAUUGCUUCAUCCAAAUGCAGGUGCUCUUCUUCGCAAGGAAAUUCUCCUUCUCCCAUCAAAUCUUCGAAAUUUUGACAACGGGGAUGACAAUUGUACUAACCAAUAUGCUGAUGAUUCUGCUGUGCCUAGUUCCACUAUUAUGCCUGUGCAGGUUGCUGGCGAAAACGGUGGUCAAAACAAUCAAAAUCCUGAAAAUUUGGUUCAAAACGAGGUGUUAUUUCAUGCUCCAGAAGGGGACGAAGCUGGCGCAGAUCCCGGAGCUGAUUUGGCGGCGCCUGCCACCCCUGCGCGUCUGCAGGCGUCGCAUCCUGUCGCCGCAUCUUCCUCGAAUCCCGCUCCAGUAGACAGCGGGCCAGGCUUCGGGACCAGCCUCUCCCACGCUGCCACGUCACCCGACCGCUGGGUCAGCCGCGUAGGCGGAUCGGCCUCGCAUCCCGCGCACAUGCAACUGCAGGCGGGUGGUGGAUCUUCUGCGCCCAACAACCAUGCGGGUUCCCGAGCGUCCAGUGGCCAGGGGGGCACAUCGUGGACCACUAGAUCUUCUCUGCACCCUGGCGCAUCAUCACCUGAUGGGUCAGCUGCUGGUGGAUCUUCUGCGGAUUCUGUGCAUUCGCCUGUACAGCAGCCAGCAGCAGUUGCUUCUCGAGUCAUGACCAGGCUACAGAAAGGUAUACGCAAUCCGAAAAUAAGGAAAGAUGGCACUAUACCAUAUGGCAUGUUAUGUAUUUCAGGAGAACCAACAACAUUAAAAGAUGCACUUGGUGACUCUAAGUGGAGAAAAGCAAUGGAUGAGGAGUAUUCUGCACUGAUGAGAAAUAAGACUUGGCGUCUUGUGCCUGAUCAAAGAGGUAAAAAUAUUAUUGACUGUAAAUGGGUGUACAGGAUCAAAAAAAAAGGCAGAUGGCUCCAUUGA
rnacentral:rRNA from 1 species